GGGUUGUGAGGUUAAGCGACUAAGCGUACACGGUGGAUGCCCUGGCAGUCAGAGGCGAUGAAGGACGUGCUAAUCUGCGAUAAGCGUCGGUAAGGUGAUAUGAACCGUUAUAACCGGCGAUUUCCGAAUGGGGAAACCCAGUGUGAUUCGUCACACUAUCAUUAACUGAAUCCAUAGGUUAAUGAGGCGAACCGGGGGAACUGAAACAUCUAAGUACCCCGAGGAAAAGAAAUCAACCGAGAUUCCCCCAGUAGCGGCGAGCGAACGGGGAGCAGCCCAGAGCCUGAAUCAGUGUGUGUGUUAGUGGAAGCGUCUGGAAAGGCGCGCGAUACAGGGUGACAGCCCCGUACACAAAAAUGCACAUGCUGUGAGCUCGAUGAGUAGGGCGGGACACGUGGUAUCCUGUCUGAAUAUGGGGGGACCAUCCUCCAAGGCUAAAUACUCCUGACUGACCGAUAGUGAACCAGUACCGUGAGGGAAAGGCGAAAAGAACCCCGGCGAGGGGAGUGAAAAAGAACCUGAAACCGUGUACGUACAAGCAGUGGGAGCACGCUUCGGCGUGUGACUGCGUACCUUUUGUAUAAUGGGUCAGCGACUUAUAUUCUGUAGCAAGGUUAACCGAAUAGGGGAGCCGAAGGGAAACCGAGUCUUAACUGGGCGUUAAGUUGCAGGGUAUAGACCCGAAACCCGGUGAUCUAGCCAUGGGCAGGUUGAAGGUUGGGUAACACUAACUGGAGGACCGAACCGACUAAUGUUGAAAAAUUAGCGGAUGACUUGUGGCUGGGGGUGAAAGGCCAAUCAAACCGGGAGAUAGCUGGUUCUCCCCGAAAGCUAUUUAGGUAGCGCCUCGUGAAUUCAUCUCCGGGGGUAGAGCACUGUUUCGGCAAGGGGGUCAUCCCGACUUACCAACCCGAUGCAAACUGCGAAUACCGGAGAAUGUUAUCACGGGAGACACACGGCGGGUGCUAACGUCCGUCGUGAAGAGGGAAACAACCCAGACCGCCAGCUAAGGUCCCAAAGUCAUGGUUAAGUGGGAAACGAUGUGGGAAGGCCCAGACAGCCAGGAUGUUGGCUUAGAAGCAGCCAUCAUUUAAAGAAAGCGUAAUAGCUCACUGGUCGAGUCGGCCUGCGCGGAAGAUGUAACGGGGCUAAACCAUGCACCGAAGCUGCGGCAGCGACGCUUAUGCGUUGUUGGGUAGGGGAGCGUUCUGUAAGCCUGUGAAGGUGUGCUGUGAGGCAUGCUGGAGGUAUCAGAAGUGCGAAUGCUGACAUAAGUAACGAUAAAGCGGGUGAAAAGCCCGCUCGCCGGAAGACCAAGGGUUCCUGUCCAACGUUAAUCGGGGCAGGGUGAGUCGACCCCUAAGGCGAGGCCGAAAGGCGUAGUCGAUGGGAAACAGGUUAAUAUUCCUGUACUUGGUGUUACUGCGAAGGGGGGACGGAGAAGGCUAUGUUGGCCGGGCGACGGUUGUCCCGGUUUAAGCGUGUAGGCUGGUUUUCCAGGCAAAUCCGGAAAAUCAAGGCUGAGGCGUGAUGACGAGGCACUACGGUGCUGAAGCAACAAAUGCCCUGCUUCCAGGAAAAGCCUCUAAGCAUCAGGUAACAUCAAAUCGUACCCCAAACCGACACAGGUGGUCAGGUAGAGAAUACCAAGGCGCUUGAGAGAACUCGGGUGAAGGAACUAGGCAAAAUGGUGCCGUAACUUCGGGAGAAGGCACGCUGAUAUGUAGGUGAAGUCCCUUGCGGAUGGAGCUGAAAUCAGUCGAAGAUACCAGCUGGCUGCAACUGUUUAUUAAAAACACAGCACUGUGCAAACACGAAAGUGGACGUAUACGGUGUGACGCCUGCCCGGUGCCGGAAGGUUAAUUGAUGGGGUUAGCGGUAACGCGAAGCUCUUGAUCGAAGCCCCGGUAAACGGCGGCCGUAACUAUAACGGUCCUAAGGUAGCGAAAUUCCUUGUCGGGUAAGUUCCGACCUGCACGAAUGGCGUAAUGAUGGCCAGGCUGUCUCCACCCGAGACUCAGUGAAAUUGAACUCGCUGUGAAGAUGCAGUGUACCCGCGGCAAGACGGAAAGACCCCGUGAACCUUUACUAUAGCUUGACACUGAACAUUGAGCCUUGAUGUGUAGGAUAGGUGGGAGGCUUUGAAGUGUGGACGCCAGUCUGCAUGGAGCCGACCUUGAAAUACCACCCUUUAAUGUUUGAUGUUCUAACGUGGACCCGUGAUCCGGGUUGCGGACAGUGUCUGGUGGGUAGUUUGACUGGGGCGGUCUCCUCCUAAAGAGUAACGGAGGAGCACGAAGGUUGGCUAAUCCUGGUCGGACAUCAGGAGGUUAGUGCAAUGGCAUAAGCCAGCUUGACUGCGAGCGUGACGGCGCGAGCAGGUGCGAAAGCAGGUCAUAGUGAUCCGGUGGUUCUGAAUGGAAGGGCCAUCGCUCAACGGAUAAAAGGUACUCCGGGGAUAACAGGCUGAUACCGCCCAAGAGUUCAUAUCGACGGCGGUGUUUGGCACCUCGAUGUCGGCUCAUCACAUCCUGGGGCUGAAGUAGGUCCCAAGGGUAUGGCUGUUCGCCAUUUAAAGUGGUACGCGAGCUGGGUUUAGAACGUCGUGAGACAGUUCGGUCCCUAUCUGCCGUGGGCGCUGGAGAACUGAGGGGGGCUGCUCCUAGUACGAGAGGACCGGAGUGGACGCAUCACUGGUGUUCGGGUUGUCAUGCCAAUGGCACUGCCCGGUAGCUAAAUGCGGAAGAGAUAAGUGCUGAAAGCAUCUAAGCACGAAACUUGCCCCGAGAUGAGUUCUCCCUGACUCCUUGAGAGUCCUGAAGGAACGUUGAAGACGACGACGUUGAUAGGCCGGGUGUGUAAGCGCAGCGAUGCGUUGAGCUAACCGGUACUAAUGAACCGUGAGGCUUAACCUUACAACGCCGAAGCUGUU
rnacentral:rRNA from 1 species